rnacentral:misc_RNA from 1 species
GGGACGACGGUAUCACGCUGAUCCGAGGUCACAUUUCAGAAGUUGGGUGUUUAACGGCUGUGGACGCGCCGCGCUCCCGAUGCGAGUGUGCAAACUACUGCGCAGGAGAGGCUGCGGCGAGACCGCCACUGUAUUUCGGAGACGGCCACCGCCAAGGCAGGGCCGAUCCCCAACGCCGACCCCCCGGAGGGGUUCGAGGGUUGAAAUGACGCUCGGACAGGCAUGCCCGCCAGAAUACUGGCGGGCGCAAUGUGCGUUCAAAGAUUCGAUGAUUCACUGAAUUCUGCAAUUCACAUUACUUAUCGCAUUUCGCUGCGUUCUUCAUCGAUGCCAGAACCAAGAGAUCCGUUGUUGAAAGUUUUGAUUCAUUUUCGAAACGCCUACGAGAGGCGCCGAGAAGGCUCAGAUUAUAAAAAAACCCGCGAGGGGGUAUACAAUAAGAGUUUUGGUUGGUCCUCCGGCGGGCGCCUUGGUCCGGGGCUGCGACGCACCCGGGGCAGAGAUCCCGCCGAGGCAACAGUUUGGUAACGUUCACAUUGGGUUUGGGAGUUGUAAACUCGGUAAUGAUCCCUCCGCUGGUUCACCAACGGAGACCUUGUUCAUUUUUUUCCCUUCCAAAAAAGGAA